rnacentral:misc_RNA from 1 species
GUGAAUCAUCGAAUCUUUGAACGCACAUUGCGCCCGCCAGUAUUCUGGCGGGCAUGCCUGUUCGAGCGUCAUUUCAACCCUCAGGCCCCCAGUGCCUGGCGUUGGGGAUCGGCGUGGGCGGCGACGGCUCUCCGGAGCCCGAGCCAAUGCCUGCCGGCCCCGAAAUUCAGUGGCGGUCUCGCUGUAGUCCCCCUCUGCGUAGUAGCACAACUCGCAUUGGAGCUCGGCGGUGGCCAUGCCGUAAAACACCCCACUUCUGAAAGUUGACCUCGGAUCAGGUAGGAAUACCCGCUGAACUUA